rnacentral:rRNA from 1 species
GAUUAAGUUAUUAAGGGCGCACGGUGGAUGCCUUGGCACUAGAAGCCGAUGAAGGACGUUACUAACGACGAUAUGCUUUGGGGAGCUGUAAGUAAGCUUUGAUCCAGAGAUUUCCGAAUGGGGAAACCCAGCAUGAGUUAUGUCAUGUUAUCGAUAUGUGAAUACAUAGCAUAUCAGAAGGCACACCCGGAGAACUGAAACAUCUUAGUACCCGGAGGAAGAGAAAGAAAAUUCGAUUCCCUUAGUAGCGGCGAGCGAAACGGGAAGAGCCCAAACCAACAAGCUUGCUUGUUGGGGUUGUAGGACACUCUAUACGGAGUUACAAAGGACGACAUUAGACGAAUCAUCUGGAAAGAUGAAUCAAAGAAGGUAAUAAUCCUGUAGUCGAAAAUGUUGUCUCUCUUGAGUGGAUCCUGAGUACGACGGAGCACGUGAAAUUCCGUCGGAAUCUGGGAGGACCAUCUCCUAAGGCUAAAUACUCUCUAGUGACCGAUAGUGAACCAGUACCGUGAGGGAAAGGUGAAAAGCACCCCGGAAGGGGAGUGAAAUAGAACCUGAAACCGUGUGCUUACAAGUAGUCAGAGCCCGUUAAUGGGUGAUGGCGUGCCUUUUGUAGAAUGAACCGGCGAGUUACGAUUUGAUGCAAGGUUAAGCAGUAGAUGUGGAGCCGUAGCGAAAGCGAGUCUGAAUAGGGCGUUUAGUAUUUGGUCGUAGACCCGAAACCAGGUGAUCUACCCUUGGUCAGGUUGAAGUUCAGGUAACACUGAAUGGAGGACCGAACCGACUUACGUUGAAAAGUGAGCGGAUGAACUGAGGGUAGCGGAGAAAUUCCAAUCGAACCUGGAGAUAGCUGGUUCUCUCCGAAAUAGCUUUAGGGCUAGCCUCAAGUGAUGAUUAUUGGAGGUAGAGCACUGUUUGGACGAGGGGCCCCUCUCGGGUUACCGAAUUCAGACAAACUCCGAAUGCCAAUUAAUUUAACUUGGGAGUCAGAACAUGGGUGAUAAGGUCCGUGUUCGAAAGGGAAACAGCCCAGACCACCAGCUAAGGUCCCAAAAUAUAUGUUAAGUGGAAAAGGAUGUGGCGUUGCCCAGACAACUAGGAUGUUGGCUUAGAAGCAGCCAUCAUUUAAAGAGUGCGUAAUAGCUCACUAGUCGAGUGACACUGCGCCGAAAAUGUACCGGGGCUAAACAUAUUACCGAAGCUGUGGAUUGUCCUUUGGACAAUGGUAGGAGAGCGUUCUAAGGGCGUUGAAGCAUGAUCGUAAGGACAUGUGGAGCGCUUAGAAGUGAGAAUGCCGGUGUGAGUAGCGAAAGACGGGUGAGAAUC